AGAUUAAGUUAUUAAGGGCGCACGGUGGAUGCCUUGGCACUAGAAGCCGAUGAAGGACGUUACUAACGACGAUAUGCUUUGGGGAGCUGUAAGUAAGCUUUGAUCCAGAGAUUUCCGAAUGGGGAAACCCAGCAUGAGUUAUGUCAUGUUAUCGAUAUGUGAAUACAUAGCAUAUCAGAAGGCACACCCGGAGAACUGAAACAUCUUAGUACCCGGAGGAAGAGAAAGAAAAUUCGAUUCCCUUAGUAGCGGCGAGCGAAACGGGAAGAGCCCAAACCAACAAGCUUGCUUGUUGGGGUUGUAGGACACUCUAUACGGAGUUACAAAGGACGACAUUAGACGAAUCAUCUGGAAAGAUGAAUCAAAGAAGGUAAUAAUCCUGUAGUCGAAAAUGUUGUCUCUCUUGAGUGGAUCCUGAGUACGACGGAGCACGUGAAAUUCCGUCGGAAUCUGGGAGGACCAUCUCCUAAGGCUAAAUACUCUCUAGUGACCGAUAGUGAACCAGUACCGUGAGGGAAAGGUGAAAAGCACCCCGGAAGGGGAGUGAAAUAGAACCUGAAACCGUGUGCUUACAAGUAGUCAGAGCCCGUUAAUGGGUGAUGGCGUGCCUUUUGUAGAAUGAACCGGCGAGUUACGAUUUGAUGCAAGGUUAAGCAGUAAAUGUGGAGCCGUAGCGAAAGCGAGUCUGAAUAGGGCGUUUAGUAUUUGGUCGUAGACCCGAAACCAGGUGAUCUACCCUUGGUCAGGUUGAAGUUCAGGUAACACUGAAUGGAGGACCGAACCGACUUACGUUGAAAAGUGAGCGGAUGAACUGAGGGUAGCGGAGAAAUUCCAAUCGAACCUGGAGAUAGCUGGUUCUCUCCGAAAUAGCUUUAGGGCUAGCCUCAAGUGAUGAUUAUUGGAGGUAGAGCACUGUUUGGACGAGGGGCCCCUCUCGGGUUACCGAAUUCAGACAAACUCCGAAUGCCAAUUAAUUUAACUUGGGAGUCAGAACAUGGGUGAUAAGGUCCGUGUUCGAAAGGGAAACAGCCCAGACCACCAGCUAAGGUCCCAAAAUAUAUGUUAAGUGGAAAAGGAUGUGGCGUUGCCCAGACAACUAGGAUGUUGGCUUAGAAGCAGCCAUCAUUUAAAGAGUGCGUAAUAGCUCACUAGUCGAGUGACACUGCGCCGAAAAUGUACCGGGGCUAAACAUAUUACCGAAGCUGUGGAUUGUCCUUUGGACAAUGGUAGGAGAGCGUUCUAAGGGCGUUGAAGCAUGAUCGUAAGGACAUGUGGAGCGCUUAGAAGUGAGAAUGCCGGUGUGAGUAGCGAAAGACGGGUGAGAAUCCCGUCCACCGAUUGACUAAGGUUUCCAGAGGAAGGCUCGUCCGCU
rnacentral:rRNA from 1 species